CGCCGGCUAAUACCGGGUAAGCUCACGCGGGUUAGAGGCCGGGUGAGAAAACGGCAGCGCAAGCUGACCGCCUCAGGAGGGGCCUGCGGCCCAUCAGCUAGUUGGCAGGGUAACGGCCUACCAAGGCGAAGACGGGUAGGGGGCCUGAGAGGGUGACCCCCCACACGGGCACUGAGACACGGGCCCGACUCCUACGGGAGGCAGCAGUAAGGAAUAUUGCCCAAUGGGCGCAAGCCUGAGGCAGCAACGCCGCGUGCCCGACGAAGGCCUUCGGGUUGUAAAGGGCUUUUCUGGCUGAAGAGUGAGGACAGUAGGCCAGGAAGAAGAGUCGGCUAACUACGUGCCAGCAGCCGCGGUAAAACGUAGGACUCAAGCGUUAUCCGGAUUUACUGGGCGUAAAGGGCGGGCAGGCGGGCCGGCAAGUCUGACGUGAAGGCUCCUGGCUUAACCGGGAGAGGCCGUUGGAAACUGCCGGGCUGGAGGGCAGUAGAGGGGCGUGGAAUUCCGGGUGGAGUGGUGAAAUGCGUAGAGAUCCGGAGGAACACCAGAGGCGAAGGCGGCGCCCUGGGCUGACCCUGACGCUGAGCCGCAAAAGCCAGGGUAGCGAACGGGAUUAGAAACCCCGGUAGUCCUGGCCGUAAACGAUGUCGACUAGGUGUUGGGAGGUAGAACUCGCAGCGCCGGAGCUAACGCGCUAAGUCGACCGCCUGGGGAGUACGGCCGCAAGGCUAAAACUCAAAGGAAUUGACGGGGGCCCGCACAAGCAGCGGAGCGUGUGGUUUAAUUCGAGGCAACGCGAAGAACCUUACCUGGGCUUGACAUGGCGGUGGUAGGGAAGGGAAACCGGACCGACCUUCGGGAGCCGUCACAGGUGCUGCAUGGCUGUCGUCAGCU
rnacentral:rRNA from 1 species